GACGAACGCUGGCGGCGUGCUUAACACAUGCAAGUCGAACGGUAAGGCCCUUCGGGGUACACGAGUGGCGAACGGGUGAGUAACACGUGGGUGAUCUGCCCUGCACUUCGGGAUAAGCCUGGGAAACUGGGUCUAAUACCGGAUAGGACCACUGCCUGCAUGGGUGGUGGUGGAAAGCUUUUGCGGUGUGGGAUGGGCCCGCGGCCUAUCAGCUUGUUGGUGGGGUGAUGGCCUACCAAGGCGACGACGGGUAGCCGGCCUGAGAGGGUGACCGGCCACACUGGGACUGAGAUACGGCCCAGACUCCUACGGGAGGCAGCAGUGGGGAAUAUUGCGCAAUGGGCGCAAGCCUGAUGCAGUGACGCCGCGUGGGGGAUGACGGCCUUCGGGUUGUAAACCUCUUUCGACAGGGACGAAGCUUUGGUGACGGUACCUGUAUAAGAAGCACCGGCUAACUACGUGCCAGCCGCCGCGGUAA
rnacentral:rRNA from 1 species